rnacentral:snoRNA from 1 species
AUGUGUCUAUUUGACAGAUAGGGAGCAGUUUACUGUCUGCUGUUAAGGUUUCCAUUACAGAAGCCAGAAAAAAAGUGUCCUUGUGCUGUCUGUCUGACUGUGGCAGUCAAGACUGAAUAGAGGAAUACAGGG